GUGAUGGAUGGUGUGACAUGUGCUGCUGGCCCACAGAACCAGGGUCCCCUGGGAGUUGCGUGACCUACGGUGGAGAUCACAUUCCCAAGAGCCCUUUCAGUGGCAGCGUGGCAGCCAUGCUGGACCUUAGCAAGGUCAAGGUGACAGGCCUGGGAGACAGAGGAAGGUGGAGGAGCAGCUCCAGCAGAGCAACACCAGAGGUGUGUGGAGAGGACCGAAC